UCAGGGGAGGCAGGCAGCUAACAAAGCACAGAUGGACUGGGCUGAGCUCAACUCCCUUAAAAAGGCCAAUCCACCCUGUGACACCUUCGGACCUCAGUUGGUGCCUUCUCUUCAAUCUCUCCUCAUCCUGCUUCUUUUUUUUAAGUUCUGCAUGUUACCAAAAAGAGGCUUGAGAGGAUUCUUGGAAGGGAAUUCAGAUUUCCAUAUUAUCCUGUAUUGUUAUUGGUUGGGUUAAACCUUGUUAAAACUGGUAAGUGUAGCAGCCACCCUUCAUUUUGGGAUAAAUGUACAAAAUAUUAAGGGCCUCAACCCAAAACAUAGGCACAUGGCAUUGGCCAAAAUAGAGGCACAUGUUAGUCUGCUCAGGAAUUUGAAUCAUGUGGAAGGAAGGUUUUUGCUGGGUAUUGUCUGAUGGAGGUAUGUGUGUCUGUGUAUGAGAGAGAAGCAGCAAAAAACCCAUCACAGAAGCAAGGAAAAAGCAGCAAUGAAGCCCUAGACACAGCCUGAACAAACACUGAGUGUGUCAUCCUGAGAAAAGCCUAGAGAGAGUGCUUUUGGGCUAGGGUUGCCAACAGUCCUUUGUUACAAGGGACAUCCCUUACUUUUUCAUGUCUGUACAACAAGGUCUAGAGUUGCUGAAUGCUACAAAAAGGAGCAAGAAAUAUCCCUGGCGAAUGUAGCUGCAGACUGAACUCAAUCAAACAUGUGAACAGUUAGUCCAAGAAAUGAUCAGCCCCACAUUACAACAGAUCGUAGUUCUCCCCAGUGAUGCUUAAGCCAAGUCAGAGGAAUCAAGCUACUUCGGGGACUCAUAACCAAAAGCGAACAGUGAAAGUGAUUCAUGCUGUGAAAGAAAGGACAUCAGGAUUGAAGGAGAGUGUUCAUUUUGGUAGUAAAAUGAUUUGUACGAUGGGUUGCUCCAGAGGAAAAUAGAAUUUUAUGCCAUCAUCUAGCUGAUAUGUUUGCACACUGAAACAUGUUUCAAAACAAGCUUAGGAAAGGUUUGCCAAGUGUUGUAUUAUAUGGCUUGGAAACUUCCAUUAUGCUGUACAUCUGUUUAUGAAGUUAUUUACUGUGUACAAUAGGUAUUCACUCUGUGCAUAUAAUGUUUUGAUUGCAAUUUGUAUUAUCCUUUAAAGUAUACCUUCCCUGUCUAGUUUAUGUAUGAGUUACGGGAUAACCCAACAAAUGUUUAUUUGCAGCCUCUCUGUGAUUUCAUUGUGAUCCAAACCAUUCAGUUUUAAUUAUAGAUAGUGGGCAAAACUAGGAUGUUUGAUGUAAAUCCAUGCAAGAUUCAAACAUGUUAACCAUUGGUAUUAAGAAUUCAGAUUAUGGCUUGAGUUUUUAAAUACUUCAUGUAACUAACCUAGAGUUGUGUGAUAGGGGCACAUCAGAAAUUAAUUAAAAACAAAGAAGUUAUAGAUAUUUGUUGACAAUGAACGAGCUAGUGAUAGCUGUAUUUUUUCAGACUGCUUCUGAUCCUAAGAAUUUUAGGAGGUAUACAUUAGGGAGGUCUCCUCCAAACAUCAAAUCCCAUAUCCCUCCUCAGUCCCAUAUUUAGUUCUACCUAAAAAGCAGAAGAAUUUCUACACAACACCACUUUGUUAGAGUAGUGGUAAGGUUGCAGGGUCACGGCAGAAGUUUAAGUGUGUACUUCCUUUCAAGAAGGAUAGGCUUGGUGUGACACUGCACCCCAUAUUCUUCAUAGUGACAUUAUUAUAUGAUUAUGGCAUAAUUAUGAUAUAUGUUAUGAAAGACUGGUCACAUGAGAGGUCAUUGAAAAGGUUAUGAUUUGCUGAAUAUGAUUAUCCUAUUUGUAUUCAUGUAUCAUUUUUGUAUCUGAAGUUAUAAAUACUGACUAUAUACCUGUACUUCAAAUGUCAUUACAUCUGGGUAAUGCCCAAUAGACAAGAUGCUUUCAGUCUAGAUAGCUGGUUGGGAAGGGACUAUUCAGGGCAAUGAGCCAUUAGGGAAAACAAUCGGCUUUAGAAGAAGUUUAUCUGCCACCUGGUGAGCCUUCCUUAGUAUGCUACAGACAGCCUGUGAGUGAUGGCUGCUAUGACUCUACAAGGACAUGUGACCAGGUCACAUGAUGCUGGACUCCAUCUUGGGAUG